rnacentral:rRNA from 1 species
AUUGAACGCUGGCGGCAUGCUUUACACAUGCAAGUCGGACGGCAGCACAGAGAAGCUUGCUUCUUGGGUGGCGAGUGGCGAACGGGUGAGUAACAUAUCGGAACGUACCGAGCAGUGGGGGAUAACUAAUCGAAAGAUUAGCUAAUACCGCAUAUAUUCUGAGGAAGAAAGCAGGGGACCAUUUGGCCUUGCGCUGUUUGAGCGGCCGAUAUCUGAUUAGCUAGUUGGUGGGGUAAAGGCCUACCAAGGCGACGAUCAGUAGCGGGUCUGAGAGGAUGAUCCGCCACACUGGGACUGAGACACGGCCCAGACUCCUACGGGAGGCAGCAGUGGGGAAUUUUGGACAAUGGGCGCAAGCCUGAUCCAGCCAUGCCGCGUGUCUGAAGAAGGCCUUCGGGUUGUAAAGGACUUUUGUCAGGGAAGAAAAGGACAGGGUUAAUACCCCU